GGGCCCGUGGUCUAGCUUGGCAGGAUAUUAGCCUUGGGAGCUAAGGGCGGGUGUUCAAAUCACCCCGGGCCCACCA
rnacentral:tRNA from 1 species